rnacentral:rRNA from 1 species
UACGGAGGAUGCGAGCGUUAUCCGGAUUUAUUGGGUUUAAAGGGUGCGUAGGCGGCUUUUUAAGUCAGCGGUGAAAUUUUGCAGCUUAACUGUAACAGUGCCAUUGAUACUGGGGAGCUAGGAUUUGGUUGCUGUGGGUGGAAUGUGUGGUGUAGCGGUGAAAUGCUUAGAGAUCACACAGAAAAUCGAUUGCGAAGGCAGCUCACAAAGCCAAGAUUGACGCUGAGGCACGAAAGUGUGGGGAUCAAACAGGAUUA